rnacentral:tRNA from 1 species
UGACAGAUAGUGAAAUGGUUAUCACGAAGCUCUGAUACGGCUUUAUUCUGAGUUCAAAUCUCAGUCUGUCAA